GGCCAGUGGAGUGUUAUGGGGGGUACAGGAGACCUUACAAUGGCACGAGGUAUUAUAAAUUACAAAAUAAUCCAAGAAGACGGUGCCAGCAGGACCUUUUAAAUAUCCAUAUUUGCAUACUACACUUCAAAGGAAACCAUUCCGGUAAGUGCCAGAUACAUUUUUAUCUGUUGCUAGUAUUGAAAUUUUCUCUUCAUAUUUUGGAUAAAAUUAAAUAGGACAGCAAACAUCUAUACAUACCUUACCACUGCAGUGUACAUAGAAGUAGUUUUAGUGAAUAGAUGAAUUCAUCUCCAUGAAUGUGAAUAUGUGAUGGAAACAAUACUCACAAAUGAUGAAUGACCACAUUCAUAAAUUUUAUGCAGAUUCCGGGUGGUAUUGGCAUUUUCCCUUGAGACAUUGCACUUCGGACAUAGAUUGAGACCAUCCUUCGCAUGUUUGUGUGUGUUGAGACGAGAUGACUACUAGAUCUACGAUCUAUUUUAUGCUUCAUCCUAAAUAAAUUAUCCGCCUAUGUAUUGUGACUUACCAACCACUCAGUUGUAUUCUAGAGAGCAUUGCAUGCAAUUCUUCAUACCUUUUUAUGUCAUGUUCUCCUCGUCACAAAAGAUCCUAUCAUCAAUAAAUGUGCCAUUUUUUUGUGAAAAGAUGUUUUAGUAAUAUUUUUCUGGGCAUUCUCUUCAUGGUUCGAGAAUUUUGUGUGACUCAAACAUCUAGCAACUGUAGCCUUGCUAUGUUGUGAAGGAAUAAUACCACCAGAAAAAUCACUUUUAUUUCCCGUACCAGGGCUGCGAGUGUGGCAGUGAUACCCAAUGUACCACACCCGGUUCUAAAACACAUGUAGCAAUACUAGUCUUCGGUGGUCGUUCAUAACUGGCAGUACAGUUGCCAUAGUGAAGGCAUCAUUUUCCGGCAAGCUACAAGUUACGCAACUCUAAAAAUGGAUGGUCUAGCCUAGUCAUGCAUUGUCCUAGGAAACGGGUAGCAAAGGGGUUCCCGACCGGUAGUAAACGUUGUUUCUCCAGUAGUACCUAUAUGCACCCAAAUACAGACACAACAGGAAAAAGCUACUAAGGCCAUUCUUAAUUUAAUAUAAAUAGACUGCUCUUAAAUUUCAUAACUCUCGCCAAUAGUUACCUUGGUGAUGACGCCAGAAUGGCUGGCAUGUACUUCAAAUGAUUCUAGUAUUACUUAGAAAUUUAGCUUGAAAGCACAUGGAAUAACAUUGUACAAUUUAACUAGGUCUAUUCCAGGGUUAUGAAUUUAUUUCCACAAUUAAGCAAUAAUUGCAACAUUGUAUCACGGAUUAACAAGAAAACACUAGGGUAAACAUUGGGGUAGGAAAAUAAUAACCUCUAUACGCAAGACUAUACCAUGCCAAGGGUAAUAUGGAGAUAUUACUAUCUUGGAUUGAGAUCUAAAUUAACAAAAUUAUGGAAAUACGGGGCACUAUGGGGGGCAAAACAUAUGAAAACUCAAUAUCAACGUGCUUUGUAAACGUUUGUGGAGAUUUCAAAGAGUGGAUUGGAUUUGGCAAGAGAUAAUUAGAGCUAAAUACCUUCGGGAGUUUACCUUCAAAUCAGUGAAGCACAGGUGGAACCUUCAAGGGAGAAGUGUAAAGACUAAUUGCGUGGGGUAUACCCUCUUCUAGAAUGGUAUUUUCCGGUACGAGACUCCUUUAUGUGAUGGAUUUCCAAUGCUAUAUGCCUUGUGUUGGCAAUAGGAAGUUAGUGUGUGCAAAUAGUAUCGCAAAUCAUAGGAAGUCCCUGCCGAUUUGAGAAUCCUAUUGUUCGUUCGUACCUUGUACAGGUAACAGAAGAGAAUUCUAACCAUGGAUUGUAUAUGGAGUUAGAAAAAUUACUAUAAUCCUCAGUGCUUCCACUUUUAGGGUUUAGACCUCAUGGUUUUGCAAUGAUCGACUAGCAUCUUUCGAUAGAGAAUGCCCAGUUCCUUCUUUCUUAUCUGACCCACCUAAACAUAUUGCAGGUGCAAGUCUAGUUACAGGGACAAAUAAGACAUUUUAACUUGUUGACGUUUGCAAUGGCAUUCUCUUUCAUAUGGCAAGUUGACUCGAAGGUACCAUUUUCUAUCGAAGUCAGUAGGGAAGACCCAUUUAGUUAUCUACGACAGGGAGUGAAAACUAGGCCUGCUGGAUCCUACUCAGCUGCUGUAACUACUACUCAAGAGCCCCUUUCACCAGAAGUAGCAUUUUCUGCUGAGUGUAUUCCAAGGCUAAUCCAAUCCACAUUGACCAAGACCAUGGGUUGUUUCCGUAAGGGGGUGAUCUGCCAUCUUGAAAAUAUAGUGCUAGAAAAGACCGAGCUGGAGGAAAUGGCUGGGGCAGGAGGAAGAAGAUGUCUGAUUUAUAGGAGGGAAGUUAGUACCGGGUGGAGGCUCCACCCGGUACUAAAGGUUGCCAAUUACUGGGUGAAGCCUCCACCCGGUACUAAAGGUCCUCAGGCACAUUGUCACUGGUUGGAGGCUUCAACUGGUACUAAUGCGUAACCUUUAGUAUCGAUGAAGCCUGCACCCGGUACUAAAGGGGAUCACGGGGCGCUACUGGGGAACUAGUCGUUAGUGCCGGUACUAAUACUCGGGUCAGAAACCAACCGGUACUAAGCCUCGGGAUGCAUGCUGAGCCUAGGGAUCCACACGCGUAAUUAUGAAGCAAUAAUUACAAGGAUUCAAGUUGACUCUGGAGAAAGAUCUGCCAGCGAUAUGUGAGCAAUUACACGUUGGAUCACAUGUUUGGUACUGUUUACAUUGAGUCAUAACCUAUAUUUUUUCUCUCCGAUCUGAUCAAGUGUAAUCAUUUAUGAAUCAAUAACUCUUGAGAAAUAAUAACCAUCAUAAACAAUUAUGAAGCAAAAAUAACCAAGGAUUUGAGUUGACUGAGGAGAAAGAGCCGCCGACAAUAUGUGUGGAAUUACACGUUGGAUCACAUGUUUGGUACAGUUUACAAGAGUAAAGAAACAAACCAUCGAGUCAUAAUAAAUUAUAAUUUGCCCCUUUGAUCCGAUCAAGUAAUCACUUACUCCCUCCGUCCUAAUAAAUCGUAGGUCGUUUUGGCACUUCUAUAAUCAUAACUUUUGCUAUGCAAGCAAAAGUUAUGAUCCUAGAAAUGCCAAGGUGCAUAGCAAAAGUUAUGAUCCUACAAAUGCCAAAACGACCUAUAAUUUGGGACGGAGGGAGUAGGAAGCAAUAACAUGAUACCUGAAUUAUGAAAGAUUUGCAUUUGACUUUACCAAAAUCUCUUCCAACAAUAUGUGAGUCAAGUGGGGGUUUUUGCUCUGAUUCGUCUACAUAUAAUUUAGGGCUCCACUAAGUACGCAGUGUAGCACAUGCAUGCAACAUCGUCUCACAUGUAUCUUUCUGGAUCCAGUACUAAAGGUCCUCAGGCACAUUAGUACUGGUUGGAGGCUUCAACUGGUACUAAUGCGUAACCUUUAGUACCGAUGAAGCCUGCACCCGGUACUAAAGGGGAUCACGGGGCGCUACUGGGGAAAUAGCCGUUAGUGCCGGUACUAAUACUCGGGUCAAAAACCAACCGGUACUAAGCCUCGGGAUGCAUGCUGAGCCUAGGGAUCCACACGCGUAAUUAUGAAGCAAUAAUUACAAGGAUUCAAGUUGACUCUGGAGAAAGAUCUGCCAGCGAUAUGUGAGCAAUUACACGUUGGAUCACAUGUUUGGUACUGUUUACAUUGAGUCAUAACCUAUAUUUUUUCUCUCCGAUCUGAUCAAGUGUAAUCAUUUAUGAAUCAAUAACUCUUGAGAAAUAAUAACCAUCAUAAACAAUUAUGAAGCAAAAAUAACCAAGGAUUUGAGUUGACUGAGGAGAAAGAGCCGCCGGCAAUAUGUGUGGAAUUACACGUUGGAUCACAUGUUUGGUACAGUUUACAAGAGUAAAGAAACAAACCAUCGAGUCAUAAUAAAUUAUAAUUUGCCCCUUUGAUCCGAUCAAGUAAUCACUUACUCCCUCCGUCCUAAUAAAUCGUAGGUCGUUUUGGCACUUCUAUAAUCAUAACUUUUGCUAUGCAAGCAAAAGUUAUGAUCCUAGAAAUGCCAAGGUGCAUAGCAAAAGUUAUGAUCCUACAAAUGCCAAAACGACCUAUAAUUUGGGACGGAGGGAGUAGGAAGCAAUAACAUGAUACCUGAAUUAUGAAAGAUUUGCAUUUGACUUUACCAAAAUCUCUUCCAGCAAUAUGUGAGUCAAGUGGGGGUUGUUGCUCUGAUUCGUCUACAUAUAAUUUAGGGCUCCACUAAGUACGCAGUGUAGCACAUGCAUGCAACAUCGUCUCACAUGUAUCUUUCUGGAUCCAGUACUAAAGGUCCUCAGGCACAUUAGUACUGGUUGGAGGCUUCAACUGGUACUAAUGCGUAACCUUUAGUACCGAUGAAGCCUGCACCCGGUACUAAAGGGGAUCACGGGGCGCUACUGGGGAACUAGCCGUUAGUGCCGGUACUAAUACUCGGGUCAAAAACCAACCGGUACUAAGCCUCGGGAUGCAUGCUGAGCCUAGGGAUCCACACGCGUAAUUAUGAAGCAAUAAUUACAAGGAUUCAAGUUGACUCUGGAGAAAGAUCUGCCAGCGAUAUGUGAGCAAUUACACGUUGGAUCACAUGUUUGGUACUGUUUACAUUGAGUCAUAACCUAUAUUUUUUCUCUCCGAUCUGAUACAGUGUAAUCAUUUAUGAAUCAAUAACUCUUGAGAAAUAAUAACCAUCAUAAACAAUUAUGAAGCAAAAAUAACCAAGGAUUUGAGUUGACUGAGGAGAAAGAGCCGCCGACAAUAUGUGUGGAAUUACACGUUGGAUCACAUGUUUGGUACAGUUUACAAGAGUAAAGAAACAAACCAUCGAGUCAUAAUAAAUUAUAAUUUGCCCCUUUGAUCCGAUCAAGUAAUCACUUACUCCCUCCGUCCUAAUAAAUCGUAGGUCGUUUUGGCACUUCUAUAAUCAUAACUUUUGCUAUGCAAGCAAAAGUUAUGAUCCUAGAAAUGCCAAGGUGCAUAGCAAAAGUUAUGAUCCUACAAAUGCCAAAACGACCUAUAAUUUGGGACGGAGGGAGUAGGAAGCAAUAACAUGAUACCUGAAUUAUGAAAGAUUUGCAUUUGACUUUACCAAAAUCUCUUCCAGCAAUAUGUGAGUCAAGUGGGGGUUGUUGCUCUGAUUCGUCUACAUAUAAUUUAGGGCUCCACUAAGUACGCAGUGUAGCACAUGCAUGCAACAUCGUCUCACAUGUAUCUUUCUGGAUCCAGUACUAAAGGUCCUCAGGCACAUUAGUACUGGUUGGAGGCUUCAACUGGUACUAAUGCGUAACCUUUAGUACCGAUGAAGCCUGCACCCGGUACUAAAGGGGAUCACGGGGCGCUACUGGGGAACUAGCCUUUAGUGCCGGUACUAAUACUCGGGUCAAAAACCAACCGGUACUAAGCCUCGGGAUGCAUGCUGAGCCUAGGGAUCCACACGCGUAAUUAUGAAGCAAUAAUUACAAGGAUUCAAGUUGACUCUGGAGAAAGAUCUGCCAGCGAUAUGUGAGCAAUUACACGUUGGAUCACAUGUUUGGUACUGUUUACAUUGAGUCAUAACCUAUAUUUUUUCUCUCCGAUCUGAUCAAGUGUAAUCAUUUAUGAAUCAAUAACUCUUGAGAAAUAAUAACCAUCAUAAACAAUUAUGAAGCAAAAAUAACCAAGGAUUUGAGUUGACUGAGGAGAAAGAGCCGCCGACAAUAUGUGUGGAAUUACACGUUGGAUCACAUGUUUGGUACAGUUUACAAGAGUGAAGAAACAAACCAUCGAGUCAUAAUAAAUUAUACUUUGCCCCUUUGAUCCGAUCAAGUAAUCACUUACUCCCUCCGUCCUAAUAAAUCGUAGGUCGUUUUGGCACUUCUAUAAUCAUAACUUUUGCUAUGCAAGCAAAAGUUAUGAUCCUAGAAAUGCCAAGGUGCAUAGCAAAAGUUAUGAUCCUACAAAUGCCAAAACGACCUAUAAUUUGAGACGGAGGGAGUAGGAAGCAAUAACAUGAUACCUGAAUUAUGAAAGAUUUGCAUUUGACUUUACCAAAAUCUCUUCCAGCAAUAUGUGAGUCAAGUGGGGGUUGUUGCUCUGAUUCGUCUACAUAUAAUUUAGGGCUCCACUAAGUACGCAGUGUAGCACAUGCAUGCAACAUCGUCUCACAUGUAUCUUUCUGGAUCCAGGAUAAGCACAUUGUUAAUUAUUCAUCCUCUGCCCAUUAACUGGAGUUCCAUUAAUAUAAUGACUAUCCAGUCCUGCUACACGUUACUAGAUCACACGGUUUGUUCUGUCAACCUGAGUUAAGAGGCACAUAAUGCUAGGUUGAAGUUCUGAGCAAAGUACCAUAUGUAUCCCAGAUCUGAUUAACCACUUAUUAUAAUUGAGAAUACAAGUUGUUUAGGACGUUGACACCGUCUACGGCUAGGUGAUGUUUUGAGAAAAAUUUCUGUGCCACCAUGAUGAUUAUGAUAAUGAUUUUUAUGUAUAGCAGAAGUUUUACGGAGCAUCUAGUAAUAAUUAUUUUGUAUGCUCAUUCUUCCGAAGAAAAUUACAUUAAUGGUCAAACUGAUGGAAAUUUUACUUGCAUGAAUCCUAAAACCUACCUUAUAUUUAUUAAUUGGGAGUGGUAAUUUAUAAAAACGAAACAGCCUGAUAAUGACUUUCGAAACCACAGCAAAGGAUUCCAACUGACCUACAUAGUAUAUUGCCAGCAUCAUGUGAGCUAUGUGUCCCUUGUUUCUUUGAUUCCAACUGGCCUUGGAGUUGCAAAUACUAUUGACUAGCUACUCCCAACCGAGUUAGGAAUAUCCCAAUUUAAUGCGACCAGGGGAGUAUGUGGUCUACAAUAUUUGCAACUCAAAGUAUAGACCGAUUGCAACCCUGACCAUUGGCCAGUGCAACUGCACGGUCGAAUUUAUUGCACUUAGAUAUUAAUGUGGGGAUGUUGGUGGCGUGCAGUAUAAGGCAGGGGGUUGUAUGAAAAAUGUUCCGAGGAACUGUGCCUAGCUGCUUGCACCGUAUAUCUCCGAUCUGACGGUCCAUGGUUGGAGUUUUCGGGAUUCCACCUACCAGAUGGUUUGCACUGCAUAUUUACCCCCAUAUAAAGUAUUCAACAAACAUGAGUGCAGCAUACCAGGGCCAUGUGAAACCAUGUUACCUUCUAUGGACUAGGGUAGAUCCCUCUAUAAAUACAACCCCCUUCUAUCACACUUCAAAUACGAUACGGGAGUAAGGAAAUAGAUACCCUACGAUCCUAGCUAGCCAUGACCUCCUACUAUGCAAUAGCCGUGCUUUCAUUGCUUGCCUUUUCCAUCUCUGCGGUACGCGCGCUGGAUGACAAGAAGCUGCAAACCACCCUAUACAUAAAACAGACAUAUGCCACGGACCAAAGGCCUUUGGGAACUGAUACAGUCAUCAUUAAUUGGGUCAUAAAGGAUGGGCCUGAUGGGAAUCCCAUCGGGCAUGCAGAGGGCCUCACGACCCGUGCCAACCCAGCCCAGAAUUUAUGGGAAACCAUAAUGGAUUUGGUGUUCGAGAGUGGAAGGUAAAGAAUCCUUUUUUGGCUACAGAAUUGCUUGUGUUGUGGUAUUUACACAAGUGUAUGUUUAUCAUAUUAUGUGGUUGUCUUCAAAAAGAUGUUUUGGGGUUUUAAACAUAGCUUCGACAACUUUUUAUUAAUUUUGUUAUAAAAAUAUAAAACAUAUGAUAUAUCAAUGCAAUUUUAAUACGAUUGUAAACGGACAUAUACCAUCUCCAUUUUUUUGAACCAGGUACUUUACAAGUUUUGUAUGGACAAAGUUUUCAAUCUUUUACUGGGACCUUGUCCCAAACUCUGUUUUGGACUAGAACUUGGUGAUGCAACUGUUACGCCCUACACUGCUACUCCUGACCUUUUAAAUUAUGCAUGCAUAUUCUGAUUCUGUCAACAAAAUAGCCUCGCUGGAUCAACACUUAAGGUGAUGGGCCGUCUUGGGGGCAAGAUCAGUGGACCAGGCCAGUGGAGUGUUAUGGGGGGUACAGGAGACCUUACAAUGGCACGAGGUAUUAUAAAUUACAAAAUAAUCCAAGAAGACGGUGCCAGCAGGACCUUUGAAAUAUCCAUAUUUGCAUACUACACUUCAAAGGAAACCAUUCCGGUAAGUGCCAGAUACAUUUUUAUCUGUUGCUAGUAUUGAAAUUUUCUCUUCAUAUUUUGGAUAAAAUUAAAUAGGACAGCAAACAUCUAUACAUACCUUACCACUGCAGUGU
rnacentral:lncRNA from 1 species